GCACUUACGUCUGCACUAACUACUUAAAAAUGCUCAAUCUCUGUUAAUUCACAUCAAUGUGUUUUUAACUGAAGUAAUUUUUUAUUAAUUUGAUGAAUUUGGGUUUAAAUUUACACUGCAGGAUAAUGGAGUUUAUGCAAAGUUAACAUAUUCUCUUUAGCAUGUUUCAGAGUAAAACGAUGACCAUAAGACAUGAUAUUCAUUGAUUGGCCAUGAAAUUUGACAUGACUGGAAAAUUAAAAAAUCUAGCUGGUCCAUAGAUUUGAGAAAAUGAUAUAAAUAGUUACUUUCCUGCAACAUAUAUAGAUGAUCUCUUUGUGUUCAUCUUCAUGCCCUGGGCAUUGAGAUAUGGAAGCUUGACCAGUAUUGUUGAGUCCAUAGUAUGGCCACACGACAGAUUGAUGGCGAUGGAGGGACCCGUUUCAUUUUGCCAUGGACGCCUGCAAUUGCCUUCCAAACUCUAUCCUGCUGGCUUUUGGAAGAGUAGAGAUCUUGGAGUUGUUUUGCAGAAGUAUGAAUCCUCACUAUGCAGCAAAGUGUCGUGUUGCAGCCGCAGCCUACUCGAUCCACUCUCUCGGGAAAACAAAAAUUUAUCACAUUUAAAGAAUUAACCGGAAUUCGAGUAGAAGCCUGGCAAUAACGGCAAGCAGGAGAUGGUCACACUCUAGACCAAGCCAGUGUUGAAGAUGCAAUCCUUCCUCUUCCAAAUCUCCAAACACAUGAAAAUAAAAGGAAACAUGGUACAGCACACUCAAUGGUGUCAUUGACCUUGCGAUUCAUAGGGACCUCACCACUAUAAGGCUAUUAAUAAAAGAGAUGGUGCUCCGCAUGAAUUUUUGAAGCUCCAUGGUCAUCAUGGCUUAUUUCAGAUUGAAUGAGGAUGGCGACAACUUGUCUGGUGUAAGGCCUGCUGGACAAACUUCUUUUCAUGCUAGAAGAGCGGUUGCUAAGGGACUACCAUUCCUAGAACUGCAAUUAUCACGUU